UACGGAGGAUGCGAGCGUUAUCCGGAUUUAUUGGGUUUAAAGGGUGCGUAGGCGGCUUAGUAAGUCAGCGGUGAAAUUUUGCAGCUUAACUGUAACAGUGCCGUUGAUACUGGGGAGCUAGGAUUUGGUUGCUGUGGGUGGAAUGUGUGGUGUAGCGGUGAAAUGCUUAGAGAUCACACAGAAUAUCGAUUGCGAAGGCAGCUCACAAAGCCAAGAUUGACGCUGAGGCACGAAAGUGUGGGGAUCAAACAGGAUUA
rnacentral:rRNA from 1 species